rnacentral:rRNA from 1 species
GUAGGUGGCAAGCGUUGUCCGGAAUUAUUGGGCGUAAAGCGCGCGCAGGCGGUUCUUUAAGUCUGAUGUGAAAGCCCACGGCUCAACCGUGGAGGGUCAUUGGAAACUGGAGAACUUGAGUACAGAGGAGGAAAGCGGAAUUCCACGUGUAGCGGUGAAAUGCGUAGAGAUGUGGAGGAACACCAGUGGCGAAGGCGGCUUUCUGGUCUGUAACUGACGCUGAGGCGCGAAAGCGUGGGGAGCAAACAGGAUUAGAUACCCUGGUAGUCCACGCCGUAAACGAUGAGUGCUAAGUGUUAGGGGGUUUCCGCCCCCCUUAGUGCUGCAGCUAACGCAUUAAGCACUCCCCCCCUGGGGAGUACGGCCGCAAGGCUG